rnacentral:lncRNA from 1 species
UUUUAUGCUUUUCGAAUGAGAUUUUAAUGAAUGUAAAUGUUAGCUUUUAGCCAACUGAAAAUUGAAGUAGAUAAAAUCAGGAUACGAGUAUAUCAAUCUAAUGAUAAAAUCACAAAUAAUAUUCAGUAUUAAUUAUUCUCAAUAAUAUUUUUUUAAUGAUGUUAUAAUCAUUUGAAAUUUUUAAAAUAAGGACAUAAAGGGGCCUCAAAGAUUACUGUCACAAGAGAAAUGAUUGGAUAUAGAUUUCAAAACUUUACCGAAGAGGAAUUUGAAACCACGAAUAAGACAAUUCAACAUG